AUGCCUUAAACUUAUCAGUAAGGAACACAAUGAUUUGGGGUGAUGCCCAGAUCCUCACUGCUAAUGUGAGACAAAUUUUUGAGCUGGUAAUGGUUGCCCUUAAGGUGACCCACCUACUUUGCAGGAUGCCUGGGUGCUGCAAUCUGAAAA